GGCUUUCUCGGUGGUCCGGCGCUGCGUCAAGCUGUGCACCGGCCAUGAGUAUGCUGCCAAGAUCAUCAACACCAAGAAGCUCUCAGCCAGAGACCACCAGAAGCUGGAGAGGGAGGCGCGCAUCUGCCGGCUGCUGAAACACUCCAACAUCGUGCGGCUCCACGACAGCAUCUCGGAGGAGGGCUUCCACUACCUCGUGUUCGACCUGGUGACGGGCGGGGAGCUGUUCGAGGACAUCGUGGCCCGCGAAUACUACAGCGAGGCGGACGCCAGGUGAGGCCCCCCGGCCCCGGGC